rnacentral:tRNA from 1 species
GGCACUAAGUGGAUAGCCAAGGGAUUUCAACCCCAGAGGCUUUGAGUUCGAAUCUCAAUAGUGCUACCA